rnacentral:rRNA from 1 species
UACGGAGGAUCCGAGCGUUAUCCGGAUUUACUGGGUUUAAAGGGUGCGUAGGUGGAAUGUCAAGUCAGUGGUGAAAACCUAUAGCUUAACUAUAGAACUGCCAUUGAUACUGUCAUUCUUGAGUGUAUUUGAUGUAAGUGGAAUGUGUCGUGUAGCGGUGAAAUGCUUAGAUAUGACACAGAACACCCAUUGCGAAGGCAGCUUACAAAACUACUACUGACACUGAGGCACGAAAGCGUGGGGAUCAAACAGG